rnacentral:rRNA from 1 species
AGAAUCAACGCUGGCGGCGUGCCUAACACAUGCAAGUCGAACGAGAAAGUGGAGCAAUCCAUGAGUAAAGUGGCGCACGGGUGAGUAACACGUGACUAACCUACCCUUGAGUGGGGGAUAACCUAGGGAAACCUGGGCUAAUACCGCAUAAUACCUUCGGGUCAAAGGAGCAAUUCGCUUAAGGAGGGGGUCGCGGCCGAUUAGUUAGUUGGCGGGGUAAUGGCCCACCAAGACUGUGAUCGGUAUCCGGCCUGAGAGGGCGCACGGACACACUGGAACUGAAACACGGUCCAGACUCCUACGGGAGGCAGCAGUGGGGAAUUUUGCGCAAUGGGGAAACCCUGACGCAGCAACGCCGCGUGGAGGAUGAAGUCCCUUGGGACGUAAACUCCUUUCGAUCGGGACGAUUAUGACGGUACCGGAAGAAGAAGCCCCGGCUAACUUCGUGCCAGCAGCCGC